UUAAAUUGAAGAGUUUGAUCAUGGCUCAGAUUGAACGCUGGCGGCAGGCCUAACACAUGCAAGUCGAACGGUAACAGGAAGCAGCUUGCUGCUUCGCUGACGAGUGGCGGACGGGUGAGUAAUGUCUGGGAAACUGCCUGAUGGAGGGGGAUAACUACUGGAAACGGUGGCUAAUACCGCAUAACGUCGCAAGACCAAAGAGGGGGACCUUCGGGCCUCUUGCCAUCAGAUGUGCCCAGAUGGGAUUAGCUUGUUGGUGAGGUAACGGCUCACCAAGGCGACGAUCCCUAGCUGGUCUGAGAGGAUGACCAGCCACACUGGAACUGAGACACGGUCCAGACUCCUACGGGAGGCAGCAGUGGGGAAUAUUGCACAAUGGGCGCAAGCCUGAUGCAGCCAUGCCGCGUGUAUGAAGAAGGCCUUCGGGUUGUAAAGUACUUUCAGCGGGGAGGAAGGUGUUGUGGUUAAUAACCGCAGCAAUUGACGUUACCCGCAGAAGAAGCACCGGCUAACUCCGUGCCAGCAGCCGCGGUAAUACGGAGGGUGCAAGCGUUAAUCGGAAUUACUGGGCGUAAAGCGCACGCAGGCGGUCUGUCAAGUCGGAUGUGAAAUCCCCGGGCUCAACCUGGGAACUGCAUUCGAAACUGGCAGGCUUGAGUCUUGUAGAGGGGGGUAGAAUUCCAGGUGUAGCGGUGAAAUGCGUAGAGAUCUGGAGGAAUACCGGUGGCGAAGGCGGCCCCCUGGACAAAGACUGACGCUCAGGUGCGAAAGCGUGGGGAGCAAACAGGAUUAGAUACCCUGGUAGUCCACGCCGUAAACGAUGUCUACUUGGAGGUUGUGCCCUUGAGGCGUGGCUUCCGGAGCUAACGCGUUAAGUAGACCGCCUGGGGAGUACGGCCGCAAGGUCUCAAAUGAAUUGACGGGGGCCCGACAAGCGGUGGAUGUGGUUUUCGCAGCGAAGAACCUUACCUGGUCUUGACAUCCACAUCCAGGGUGCCGGGAACUGUGAGACAGGUGCUGCACUGUCGUCAUCGUGUUGUGAAAUGUUGGGUUAAGGCAACGAGCGUUAUUUUGCGAUUGGUCGGGAUCAAAGGAGACUAGUGUAAACUGGAGGAAGGAUCGUCAAGUCAUGGCCACGACCAGGUACACACGUUAUGGCAUACAAAGGCGACCUCGCGAGAGCAAGCGGACCUCAUAAAGUGCGUCGUAGUCCGGAUUGGAGUCUGCAACUCGACUCCAUGAAGUCGGAAUCGCUAGUAAUCGUGGAUCAGAAUGCCACGGUGAAUACGUUCCCGGGCCUUGUACACACCGCCCGUCACACCAUGGGAGUGGGUUGCAAAAGAAGUAGGUAGCUUAACCUUCGGGAGGGCGCUUACCACUUUGUGAUUCAUGACUGGGGUGAAGUCGUAACAAGGUAACCGUAGGGGAACCUGCGGUUGGAUCACCUCCUUACCUUAAAGAA
rnacentral:rRNA from 1 species